ACGGGAGGCAGCAGUGGGGAAUAUUGCACAAUGGGGGAAACCCUGAUGCAGCGACGCCGCGUGAACGAUGAAGUAUUUCGGUAUGUAAAGUUCUAUCAGCAGGGAAGAUAAUGACGGUACCUGACUAAGAAGCACCGGCUAAAUACGUGCCAGCAGCCGCGGUAAUACGGAGGGUGCGAGCGUUAAUCGGAAUUACUGGGCGUAAAGCGCAUGUAGGCUGUACGGUAAGUCAGUGGUGAAAUCCCUGGGCCCAACCUGGGAACUGCCAUUGAAACUGCCGAACUGGAGUAUGAGAGAGGAUAGCGGAAUUCCAGGUGUAGGAGUGAAAUCCGUAGAUAUCUGGAAGAACAUCAGUGGCGAAGGCGGCUAUCUGGCUCAUUACUGACGCUGAGAUGCGAAAGCGUGGGUAGCAAACAGGAUUAGAUACCCUGGUA
rnacentral:rRNA from 1 species